CGUAAAGCGAGCGCAGGCGGUCUUUUAAGUCUAAUGUGAAAGCCUUCGGCUCAACCGAAGAAGUGCAUUGGAAACUGGGAGACUUGAGUGCAGAAGAGGACAGUGGAACUCCAUGUGUAGCGGUGAAAUGCGUAGAUAUAGGGAAGAACACCAGUGGCGAAGGCGGCUGUCUGGUCUGCAACUGACGCUGAGGCUCGAAAGCAUGGGUAGCGAACAGGAUGAGAUACCCUGGUAGUCCAUGCCGUAAACGAUGAUUAGUAAGUGAGGGAGGGUUUCCGCCCUUCAGUGCUGCAGCUAACGCAUUAAGUAAUCCGCCUGGGGAGUACGACCGCAAGGUUGAAACUCAAAAGAAUUGACGGGGGCCCGCACAAGCGGUGGAGCAUGUGGUUUAAUUCGAAGCUACGCGAAGAACCUUACCAGGUCGUGACAUCUUCUGACAGUCUAAGAGAUUAGAGGUUCCCUUCGGGGACAGAAUGACAGGUGGUGCAUGGUUGUCGUCAGCUCGUGUCGUGAGAUGUUGGGUUAAGUCCCGCAACGAGCGCAACCCUUAUUACUAGUUGCCAGCAUUAAGUUGGGCACUCUAGUGAGACUGCCGGUGACAAACCGGAGGAAGGUGGGGACGACGUCAAAUCAUCAUGCCCCUUAUGACCUGGGCUACACACGUGCUACAAUGGAUGGUACAACGAGUCGCGAGACCGCGAGGUUAAGCUAAUCUCUUAAAACCAUUCUCAGUUCGGAGUGUAGGCUGCAACUCGCGUACACGAAGUCGGAAUCGCUAGUAAUCGCGGAUCAGCAUGCCGCGGUGAAUACGUUCCCGGGCCUUGUACACACCGCCCGUCACACCAUGAGAG
rnacentral:rRNA from 1 species